GUGGGUGUAGCUCAGUCGGUAGAGCUCCAGAUUGUGGAUCUGGCAGUCGAGGGUUCAAGUCCCUUCAUCCACC
rnacentral:tRNA from 1 species